UUCAGGAUUUUAUGGACGGCCGUGGACUACUGAACAACGCAAAGACCUUUUUCAGAGAAUGAAGAAGUUGGGCCUGAACACCUAUAUGUACGCACCGAAAGACGACGUCAAGCACAGAGCAUAUUGGAGAGAGCUUUACACGGUGGAGGAAGCCGAGCACCUGACAAACCUUAUCCAGGCAGUAGGGAAAACUCAGUCAACUUCUACUAUGCCCUAUCACCUGGUCUAGACAUCACAUAUUCUAGUUCAAAA